rnacentral:rRNA from 1 species
CCUGGCUCANGAUGAACGCUGGCGGCAUGCCUGACACAUGCAAGUCGAACGGAGGCACAAGCCUCAGUGGCGAACGGGUGCGUAACGCGUGAGUACCUACCCCCAGGAAGUAAGGACAACUUACGGAAACGUUUGCUAAUACUUCAUAAGUCGAAAGAUGAAAGGAUUCCCCCUGGGGAUGGGCUUGCGUCCGAUUAGCUAGUUGGGGGGGUAACGGCUCACCAAGGCCACGAUCGGUAGCUGGUUUGAGAGAAUGGCCAGCCACAUUGGGACUGAGACACGGCCCAGACUCCUUCGGGAGGCAGCAGUGAGGAAUCUUCCGCAAUGGGCGAAAGCCUGACGGAGCAAUGUCGCGUGGGGGAAGAAGAACCUUGGUUUGUAAACUCCUUUUACUGGGGAAGAAUUCCGGCGUUCUUUAGUUGGAGAGCCGACCCUUCAAAUGACUAAGGACUUUAGCGUGGCUAAGGACUUUAGCGUCGCUAAGGACUACACGCCGGGCAGAAAGGCAGCAAGGCAAGGCGGGUCGAAUCUUCCCUGCCCAUCGCCUCGCCGUCCUCUGAACAACAACCCAGAGAAUAAGCAUCGGCUAACUCCGUGCCAGCAGCCGCGGUAAUACGGGGGAUGCGAGCGUUAUCCGGAAUUAUUGGGCGUAAAGCGCCUGCAGGCCGUUUGGUAAGUCUGGGGUCAAAUGCCACGGCCUAACCCUGGAAAGGCAACAGGAACUGCCAAACUGGAGGGUGGUAGAGGUAGAGGGAACUCCUAGUGUAGCGGUAAAAUGCGUAGAUAUUAGGAAGAACACCGGCGGCGAAGGCGCUCUACUGGACCAUUACUGACGCUCAGAGGCGAAAGCUGGGGGAGCGAGAGGGAUUAGGUACCCCUGUAGUCCCGGCCGUAAACGAUGGGUACUAAGCGCUGGACGUCUACCAGUGCUGUAGUUAACGCGUCAAGUACCCCGCCUGGGGAGUACGCUCGCAAGGGUGAAACUCAAAGGAAUUGACGGGGGCCCGCACAAGCGGUGGAGCAUGUGGUUUAAUU